rnacentral:ribozyme from 14 species
CACAGGAUGAAAGAAAAGAAAGGGAAAGAGAAGAAAAGAAGAGAAGAGAAAGAGAACGGAGGAAAGGAGAGUGUGAGUCCAUCCUUUUUGCUUUCCUUUCUUCACUUUGUC